CAAUUGGGGAAUAUUCCAUCAUUGGUUGGGUGUGUGCAUAUUUAAUACCGUAAAUUACUGAAUUCCUGAUUUAGUGUAUUGUGUAUUAGAAUCACUGUUAUACAAAGUGUUAGGGUUGGUAUCUAAAAAGUAUGUCAUGUAUUGACCUGAAGUUUUACAUGCAUAUAAAUCUCUGUGAGCAUAUUAAUUACCGUAAAUUACCAAAUUCAUCAUUUGAGCUAAAGUUUUGCCUUCAUGUGUCUCAUACAGGCGAGCUCUUUGGUAGCCUUGAUACCAAUUCUGAGUUUAACAUAACAUAUAACUGUUCAUUUGUUUUUAUUGCAUUCUUACACCUUUACACUUUUUCUGUAAACUUCAUACUGUUUGUGUUGCUCAUAGAUGUACUUCAUUAAAAUCUAUCUUGUAACAUAUCCAUAGUUUGCCCAUUGUUAUACAAGCAGAGGCUUGGUAAUUUUCCUCUAUCUGUUGCAUACUUCAUUGUCAUCACAUUUAUUAACUAACAUGUAGUUCAUCUUAAAUACAAAUCUCUUAUAACAUCACUUGAGUUUCCUUUUAUCAUACAUGUGGUACCUGUUCAGAGAAAAAAAGCAUAAUUUACAUGUACUUUGUUUUUUUAAUUUUAGGUUUACUUGAAGGAACUCAGCCCCAGCAUUCUUGUCAACCAUGGGGUAGGCCAAUCCUUUCACCUUUCAUGCAGCAGCUUUGAUUUAUUCAAAGGCAUCUUCAAGAAUCUUGUCAGCCAGGAUGUAAGACAAGUCCUGACAUUCACCUUUCGUAAAACACAAAUCCUCUCCAUUCUUCCCCUGAAUACAACAGAAGACAACAUUUUGGGGUGACCAGGGACAUAAAUCCGUCAUCUGCAACUAAUCCAGCCAUCUUUUAUAAACACUUUCACACUUGAUUUUAUAUUUUCACCAUUUAUGACCUAACCUUGUUUGUGCACAGGCAGUCUAAAUC